rnacentral:rRNA from 1 species
UACGGAGGAUCCAAGCGUUAUCCGGAAUCAUUGGGUUUAAAGGGUCUGUAGGCGGUUUUGUAAGUCAGUGGUGAAAGCCCAUCGCUCAACGGUGGAACGGCCAUUGAUACUGCAAGACUUGAAUUACUAGGAGGUAACUAGAAUAUGUAGUGUAGCGGUGAAAUGCUUAGAUAUUACAUGGAAUACCAAUUGCGAAGGCAGGUUACUACUAGUGGAUUGACGCUGAUGGACGAAAGCGUGGGGAGCGAACAGG